GGGUGCCGGCCACCUCGGCCCCCCCAUCUCGGCGGCCGGCCCUUCCGGGAGGUCCCUCUCCGGCGGCCCUCUCUACGGUGGCCGCCCCUCCCCGUCGGCGGCUCCACCUCCGGGGGCCUCUCCUCACCGGGGCCCUCCUCACCGGCUCCUCCUCGCCGGCACGUCAUCACCACCGGAACCUCACCGUCACCGUCCCCACCGUCACUUCGUGCGAACUCCGGCUUCACCGGGCCGUCACGUCACCGUCGGUGAGCCCCUCCUCGGGCUCCUCCCACCUUACCGUUCUCCUCGACGUCACGGUUCCGUUCCGGCAAACGGGGCCUCGAUCCGUCGACGGUGGACUCCGGUAGGAGGAUUCGAAGUUCGUGUUCUUCUAGGUGGAGUAGCUAAGGAACUUCUCU
rnacentral:lncRNA from 1 species